rnacentral:rRNA from 1 species
UACGUAGGGUGCAAGCGUUGUCCGGAAUUAUUGGGCGUAAAGAGUUCGUAGGCGGUUUGUCGAGUCCGUUGUGAAAGCUUGGGGCUCAACCCCAAGUCUGCAGUGGAAACGGGCAGACUAGAGUCAGGUAGGGGAGAACGGAAUUCCUGGUGUAGCGGUGAAAUGCGCAGAUAUCAGGAGGAACACCGGUGGCGAAGGCGGUUCUCUGGGCCUUACCUGACGCUGAGAUGCGAAAGCGUGGGGAGCAAACAGG